rnacentral:rRNA from 1 species
CAGCCGCCGCGGGAAUACAGAGGGUGCGAGCGUUAAUCGGAUUUACUGGGCGUAAAGCGCGCGUAGGUGGUUCAUUAAGUUGGAUGUGAAAGCCCUGGGCUCAACCUGGGAACUGCAUCCAAAACUGGUGAGCUAGAGUACGGUAGAGGGUAGUGGAAUUUCCUGUGUAGCGGUGAAAUGCGUAGAUAUAGGAAGGAACACCAGUGGCGAAGGCGACUACCUGGACUGAUACUGACACUGAGGUGCGAAAGCGUGGGGAGCAAACAGGAUUAGAUACCCCAGUAGUCCCUGUCUCUUAUAC